rnacentral:rRNA from 1 species
UGGGGAAUAUUGCACAAUGGGCGCAAGCCUGAUGCAGCCAUGCCGCGUGUAUGAAGAAGGCCUUCGGGUUGUAAAGUACUUUCAGUCGGGAGGAAGGUGGUAAGGUUAAUAACCUUAUCAAUUGACGUUACCGACAGAAGAAGCACCGGCUAACUCCGUGCCAGCAGCCGCGGUAAUACGGAGGGUGCAAGCGUUAAUCGGAAUUACUGGGCGUAAAGCGCACGCAGGCGGUUGAUUGAGUCAGAUGUGAAAUCCCCGGGCUUAACCCGGGAAUUGCAUCUGAUAAUGGUGAGCUAUAGUCUUGUAGAGGGGGGUAGAAUUCCAUGUGUAGCGGUGAAAUGCGUAGAGAUGUGGAGGAAUACCGGUGGCGAAGGCGGCCCCCUGGACAAAGACUGACGCUCAGGUGCGAAAGCGUGGGGAGCAAACAGG